GACGAACGCUGGCGGCGUGCUUAACACAUGCAAGUCGAACGGAAAGGCCCUGCUUUUGUGGGGUGCUCGAGUGGCGAACGGGUGAGUAACACGUGAGUAACCUGCCCUUGACUUUGGGAUAACUUCAGGAAACUGGGGCUAAUACCGGAUAGGAGCUCCUGCUGCAUGGGGGGGGUUGGAAAGUUUCGGCGGUUGGGGAUGGACUCGCGGCUUAUCAGCUUGUUGGUGGGGUAGUGGCUUACCAAGGCUUUGACGGGUAGCCGGCCUGAGAGGGUGACCGGCCACAUUGGGACUGAGAUACGACCCAGACUCCUACGGGAGGCAGCAGUGGGGAAUAUUGCACAAUGGGCGGAAGCCUGAUGCAGCAACGCCGCGUGCGGGAUGACGGCCUUCGGGUUGUAAACCGCUUUCGCCUGUGACGAAGCGUGAGUGACGGUAAUGGGUAAAGAAGCACCGGCUAACUACGUG
rnacentral:rRNA from 1 species